CCCCCUGGCCUGAGUGAAUCAGAGUCCCUGAAUCUGCUCCUUUAACCCCGUCCUGUCUGAGCGAAGAAGAGACGCCCUCAGGCGACCUACACGCAGAGGUGGGGCCAAAUCCAAAGCUGAACCCCAGGAGCUGUGCGAACAAAGAGAAAGGGAAAUCCCUCCCAGGAGCCUCAGGAGCAGUGGACUAAAUCUCCGCAAUCAACUUGAUGUACCCUGCAUCUGUGGAAUACCUGAAUAGACACAGAAUCAUCACAAAUUGAGGAGGUGGACUUUGAGAGCAAGGUACCCGCUGUGAUGCAGGCGGUGGUCGCUCGUCUUAGACCCGCGGUGUUCUCUGAGUAGUGGGCAAAGAGUUCUUAUCCCUUUCGUCCAGGUUGCCUUCUUGGACAUUCGAACGCCCUGUGCUUACCUGUACCCGUGUGCCUGCCCUUUUCCGGCAUCCAGCCCGGGAAAGGACAGUCACAAGCUUGCGGCUUGUGAUCGGCUCUGGAUCUGCCAACGGGAGCCGGCAGUGGCUAUUUCAUUAGUCUUCUCAGAGUCCAGCCAGGCCUUCUCGACACAGCGGAGGACGCUGGAGGCGAGCCUCUUUUGAGGCCUGACAUUCUCACGGCUGCGGUCCAAGCGCCAAAGAAAAGUUAAGUUAUCGGAUAUUUUUUUCUCUUAAAAAAUGUAUUAUCUUUUUACAAAAUAAUUAUAUUACAAAUUCACUGUUGCAAAAACAAUAUCAUCUGUAAUCCUUUUGUUACUAUUACAUAGGAAUAUUUUACUUUUAAUAAAAACAGGACUCUCCUUUUGCCAUCAAAAUCAUAGUAAGGAGUGUUUCCCAUGCCAUGAAUAAUCUUCUGUAACAGAAUUUUUAAUGAUUCCAAAGUACUCCACGGUAUGGAUGCUUUACAAUUUAUUUAAUCAAGCCUGGAAUGUUAAAUAUUUUUCUAGCUGUGCAACCUCUCUUUUCUGCAUCUGUAAAAUGAGGCCAGUACUCAUGCCAGCUUUAAGGGUUGUUAUGAGAAUUAAAUGAAUUAACACAUGCAAAGUCUUAGAACAGCACUGAUUGAUAUUCCCUGUCUAAACUAUGACCAUCAUCAAGGCAAGGACCAUGUCUGCCUUGUUCAAUAUGGUAUCUCUAGGAUCUAACAUCAACUUGGCACAGAGGAGGUGUUCAAUAAAUGGGAAUCAUAGUGUUGGUUUUAACAGUACUGCUGGUAGAAUUAAACUCUCAAGAAAUAUUUGUUGAAUAAAGUAAUUAACAUUCUUUUACUUAUAUAUUGAUAGAUAACUAUUUUAAAACAAUUAACUAUACUAGGACACUCUGUAAUAAAUUCCAGGGUAAGUAACAUUCCAGAGUAGCAAACAUUUUGUUUUUAAAUGCUAAGACCCUUUUCGUUGCCAGCUGGAAAUUCAGUGCAGUCUUAAAUUCAUUGGAGCAACAUUUUCCAGGAAGUAUUCAAUGGGUGUUCCACAAGCAAUGUUGGGUGAUUAAAGAAGUUUGUUAAACUUUGGGUUAAACAGAAUUAAACAGUUAUCUUUGCCACAUCUCUGAACUUUUUUUUUUUUUUUGCGGUACGCGGGCCUCUCACUGUUGUGGCCUCUCCUGUUGCGGAGCACAGGCUCCAGACACGCAGGGUCAGCGACCAUGCUCACGAGCCCAGCGGCUCCGCGGCAUGUGGGAUCUUCCUGGACCGGGGCACGAUCCUGUGUCCCCUGCAUCGGCAGGCGGACUCUCAACCACUAUGCCACCAGGGAAGCCCAUCUCUGAACUUUUAUAAAGCUACUGUGCACUGAGAAUUUCUGAAAGGGAUGUAGUAUGUGGUGUUUCUCAAAUUAAUUUUAUCACAUAACUUUUUUCAUGGAGCAUUUUCUGGUUUAAGUAUUGUACUGAACACAGUUUGGGAAUUCAAGGAUAAUGUUUCUGAGAUAUAGAUCUUUCCAUUUUAUAAACAAGAACGCAUAUGGGGAGUAGGCUGGAGAGAGGAAAGGGAUGAAUGUGAAGUGGAUGCUAUGCUAGACACUUUACAUGGAAUGUCUGUGGUCAUCACUGAUGUUGCUUAGUAAACAUGCAGGUGCCCACAUUUUGGGUGCCGGUAGCAUGAUACCUCCUAGCCCCCUUUGUUGGUGGCAACCUCCUAGACACUUCUGUUGGUGUCACCAUGUGACCAGUCCCAGCUAACGAACUGUGAUUGGAAAGAACAUGUGGCAAUUUGGAACUUAGCAUGUAAUUGCCCAUGUGAGAUCACCCAGAGCUCUCCUGUCCCUCUGCCAUGGCCACCUACAAUGUGACAGGUGGCAGUGCUCCAUCAGUCUGUGCUCCUGAGUAAAGGGAGGAGGAAUGGCUGCAUGGGAGCAGACCCACAGCUACUGUAGCUCAAGAGAAAAAUAAACCUUUUUUAUUUUAAGCUGA